CCUACGGGGGGCAGCAGUGAGGAAUAUUGGUCAAUGGACGCAAGUCUGAACCAGCCAUGCCGCGUGCAGGAAGACGGCUCUAUGAGUUGUAAACUGCUUUUGUACGAGGGUAAACGCAGAUACGCGUAUCUGUCUGAAAGUAUCGUACGAAUAAGGAUCGGCUAACUCCGUGCCAGCAGCCGCGGUAAUACGGAGGAUUCAAGCGUUAUCCGGAUUUAUUGGGUUUAAAGGGUGCGUAGGCGGUCUGAUAAGUUAGAGGUGAAAGCCUGAGGCUCAACUUCGGAAUUGCCUCUGAUACUGGUCGGCUAGAGAGUAGUUGAGGUAGGCGGAAUGUAUGGUGUAGCGGUGAAAUGCUUAGAGAUCAUACAGAACACCGAUUGCGAAGGCAGCUUACCAAGCUACGUCUGACGUUGAGGCACGAAAGCGUGGGGAGCAAACAGGAUUAGAUACCCCUGUAGUC
rnacentral:rRNA from 1 species